ACAAGAUUCGCGUACGUUUUCCAAACAACUUGAACUUCCUCGUAAAUGUGUCGCUAUUUUAUUAAUUCGUCAUUUGUAACUCCCUUCACUUACAAUUCUUUUUCCCCCACCUGUAACCGGAUUCAAGGCAUGUGCUGAAGGCCCCUCUGGUGAAAUCAACACCUCGAAAACAGAGCAGACUGACCCCGCCAAAGCCUCGGAAGCGAGCCAGCACUUCAUUGUUGAUGAAGCCACUCUGUGCUGGGUCGGCCAGGGCCUGAUCCAGAAGGUGGUUGAUGAAGUAAAUGCCAGGCUCCACGGUGAGAACCAUCCUCUCCUGCACCAGGCGGCCCAUUCGAAGACUCUUCAGUCCUGGCUCCUGGAUACGCUCGACUCCCUGCACACAGCAGCAGACGUCGCUCUGCUGACAGCACAUCUAUAGGGUGUUUUUCGUCUUCUAGCAACAAGAGACUUUGAUCAAUACAAAGCGAACCGCAAGUCGUCCUCACCUCCGGGUAACCUCCGACGUCGUGCACGUCGAUGCCCAGCAGGUGACCCAGACCGUGAGGCAUGAAGACUGCUCCCAAGUGGACCUUCAUCAUCUCAUCCACGUUUCCCAUCAGGAUGCCAAUCUUCACCAGCUCCUCCAGGUGGACCCUGUCAGCCAGACGAUGCAUCGCGGUCCACUUCACACCUUGCAGACACAUAAGGAGUCUAUUUUUUUUUCCAUUUCUUGGGUGAUUCUCCUUGAUAAAAGACAUUUCCAACUCAACAUUUUUACCUGGUUAAAUAAAGUGAAUAAUCAACGUCUAAAAUAUCAACCAGCCCAUAAUAAGUUCAUAAUCUGGUAUUAUCUUGAACUGAAAUUGAAUGAUUUCCAACUUAAUUUACUGUGCUAUUUUUUACUGUUUAUUUUGCAAGUAAACUAGGAUGUUUAUCAUUCCAGUAUUUUGCAGAUUAAAAUAAAUAAAUACAUAUAAUCUGCUGCUAUGAGGACCUGGACAUCACUCAAAAAACUACACAGCAUGAAAACAUAACAUGCAGACGGUGUAGAGCUAUGACUGUUGACAUGGAGUACGUGUUUAACCUGGUUUGAUGGCGGCCAUGACAGCUCUGGAGGACUUCAGCACGGCCUCGUAGAUGGCCUUCUGGUCCGGAGUGAACUUCCCGUUGGCGGGGAAAGAGCAUGUGAUGUCGGAAGAGUAGCAGUAGUACUCGCCUCCCAUGUCGAACAGACUGGAGCGAGAGAGGUAAAAAAGAAGGAUAGAAAUAAAAUAGACACAAGAGUCAUAAUGGCUCACUGUCAGUUCCACUAUAUCGCUAAUGUGGCAAUCUACAUCAGGACAGCCCAACAAUUCCUCACCACAUGUCUCCAUCCAGGAUGGUUUUAUCGUUGGGCGCUCCAGCGUGACCGUAGUGGAGAACAGAGGCAUUGUUUCCACUGGUGUAGAAAGACAAGACAUUUACAUACAUGGCUGAACAAUGGAAUCAUGAUUUUGUAAUCCAACAAUAUUAAAUAAUUCAUUCUUGGAUGUGUCGCCUUAAGAACAUGCAGAUGCCACAAACUUCAUAUCUUCAUGAUUCUAUUACAGUCAUUAAUAUUGUGUGGUCCUGAGAUAAAAGUCAGUUGCGAUUUCUGUAUAAACAUGGUUAAACCUGGUUAUGCUCAGGAAGAACAGUGGGGUCGAAACUGCACUUUUGGGAAUAAUGAAAACGGCUUUAUAUAUUUUACUGCAGACAGAUUCUUUCAGUGAGAGGUGAAAAUACACCACAGGUCCUUUGAUAAUGAGUUGAGCUCAAACAUCUCUGGACAUAACAUCUCUUCACUUUGGAACAAGACACUUCACAUCAGAAUUAGAUGAGCUCUUCAUUAUCUGCCACAACUCUAAUCCCACCAUUCCUCACAAUUCUACCUUGAAAUCGUAUCAUGAAAUAUUCCUCAUGUCUACUGCUCCCUAGCACCUUGUUGUGGAAUGAAGAUUAGAGGUUGAAGUGGGGAGUUAUGUUUGACUCUUGAAUCAUUGACUGUUGCUGCCUUACGUUCCACAGAUGCAGGUGUAGGACGUGUGGCGCAUCCCUCCUCUGGUGUAGCAGUAGUGCUGGAACAGGCUGUGGUCGGUGAGAGGGAACAAACGCUCAUUCAGACAAAUGGAAACAGGCAGCAAAACAAUCCCAGCACAGCAGAGAUCACAGAAAACACUAAUUAGCCCGAGAACUUUCUUUGGCCUUUGCCUGACUCUUGCUUUUUAAGAAUUAAUCCCCCUUUCCUUCUUUAAUCAUCACCGGCACUGACACAUCAAAGAGGCCCAGCGCCUUGUGCGACAGGGAGUCAGGCGUUCUGAUAGUUGCUCUUGACAGCAGGUGGAUUUAUGCAUCCACUUCAGUCACACCUUCGGAUCAGGAAAACAAAAAUGAAAAAAAAAAAAAAAAGUAUUUCACGUUAACCAGAUGCUGAAUGUUAAGCACCUUCUACUUUCCAUACAGAAGUGCACAUUUGUUGGUGCCGCAGGAGCAGAGUCAUGUCUGGAGAGUGUGGUUGAAAGAGACAAGACAAGGAAGAAACACAAAGGCUGUCUGGCAGAUCAAGCCUCUGGUGGGAGAUGCAAGAGCCCACCAGAUGGAAUGGAUUUGAACCAGCACCUCAAUGAAACCUCACAUCAUUUCUAAACCACCUACUGAGCUCUGAAGAUGGGGACACCGUUUCAUGAAGCUACUAAUAAGCAAAAAGCUUAAAAACAAUGAAAUGAAAGCCAAAGUGAUUGUUGCUGAUGUUUAAUAGCAACCACAUUUUAAUUAAUAGCAUUAUUUAAACUGAUUAAAAUGAUAUGAGCUUAAAACAAAUUAUUAAAAACAAAACAAUUAUGUGCUACUUCAGAACAUUCAGAUUUUUGGUCCCUUGAAACAAGCAUUCUGUCUUGUGAAAGGCUUAUCUAAACAAAUAACUGACUUAGAAAUAAAGCAGUGAAAAAGCAGUGUCGUAAUUUUGAAAGUUCACUAGGUGGCGCUCUUUCAUUCAAACAGUUGUUUCAGCCCAAAGACUCAGAGUUGACAGUGCCAUCUAGUGGCGUCUGAAAGUGAGGAGACUGUUUCACGAAACAUCAUCAGUCUAUCACUUUGCAAAAUACUUUGCAACAUCUUUGCAAGUACAAAUUGAAGAAAUUGUCUCACAAAAGGAAACUAUAUUAGUCUACUGAGAAAAGAAUAUACUCUAGUAUUCCACGUAAGUGAGCACUGAAGUCAAACACCCACCUCUCCAUUUCGUAUUCCUUCUGUCCGGGCUUCACAUGCUUCAUCACCUGCAGAGUUAAAAAAAAAAUCCACGACAUUUAAAUUACUUGGAUAAUGGUGUUGUUAUUCACCAAACCAUUUACAGAAACCUGCAGGAAUUCUGAAGAAAAAAAAAAAACAGUAUAUGUGUAAACAAACACCUACUUGGUAAUUUUCCAGUAUCUAUGUUUAUCUUAAUGUAAAAAUGAAUGAAUAAAUAAUCAGAAAAAUUCAGGGUUC